rnacentral:rRNA from 1 species
GAUGAACGCUGGCGGCGUGCCUAAUACAUGCAAGUCGAGCGAACAGACGAGGAGCUUGCUCCUCUGACGUUAGCGGCGGACGGGUGAGUAACACGUGGAUAACCUACCUAUAAGACGGGGAUAACUUCGGGAAACCGGAGCUAAUACCGGAUAAUAUAUUGAACCGCAUGGUUCAAUAGUGAAAGACGGUUUUGCUGUCACUUAUCGAUGGAUCCGCGCCGCAUUAGCUAGUUGGUAAGGUAACGGCUUACCAAGGCGACGAUGCGUAGCCGCCCGGAGAGGGUGAUCGGCCACACUGGAACUGAGACACGCUCCAGACUCCUACGGGAGGCAGCAGUACGGAAUCUUCCGCAAUGGGCGGAAGCCUGACGGAGCAACGCCGCGUGAGUGAUGAAGGUCUUCGGAUCGUAAAACUCUGUUAUUAGGGAAGAACAAAUGUGUAAGUAACUAUGCACGUCUUGACGGUACCUAAUCAGAAAGCCACGGCUAACUACGUG